GAAUGCUGACAUAAGUAACGAUAAAGCGGGUGAAAAGCCCGCUCGCCGGAAGACCAAGGGUUCCUGUCCAACGUUAAUCGGGGCAGGGUGAGUCGACCCCUAAGGCGAGGCCGAAAGGCGUAGUCGAUGGGAAACAGGUUAAUAUUCCUGUACUUGGUGUUACUGCGAAGGGGGGACGGAGAAGGCUAUGUUGGCCGGGCGACGGUUGUCCCGGUUUAAGCGUGUAGGCUGAUUUUCCAGGCAAAUCCGGAAAAUCAAGGCUGAGGCGUGAUGACGAGGCACUACGGUGCUGAAGCAACAAAUGCCCUGCUUCCAGGAAAAGCCUCUAAGCAUCAGGUAACAUCAAAUCGUACCCCAAACCGACACAGGUGGUCAGGUAGAGAAUACCAAGGCG
rnacentral:rRNA from 1 species